AUACUCACAUUGGCGGUGGAAAAUACAUUGUUCAUGAAGGAAGUUUUCCCGGGGUGAGGCUCAUCCAUUGCACUUUGGUGUGCUGGCCCCUGCAGUUUCCUCAGAUGUGGGGAAACUUUGUGGCAGUGGGGGAUUGUGUUUGUGUUUUCCCCUG
rnacentral:snRNA from 1 species